rnacentral:rRNA from 1 species
ACGAACGCUGGCGGCAUGCCUAACACAUGCAAGUCGAACGAAUAAGAGCCUAGCUUGCUAGGAAUUCUGUUAGUGGCAGACGGGUGCGUAACACGUGGGAACUUACCUUGCAGUAUGGGAUAACAACGGGAAACUGUUGCUAAUACCAUAUACUCUCUGAGGAGAAAAGAUUUAUCGCUGUAAGAUAGGCCCGCGCUAGAUUAGGUAGUUGGUGGGGUAAUGGCCUACCAAGCCUACGAUCUAUAGCUGGUCUGAGAGGACGACCAGCCACACUGGGACUGAGACACGGCCCAGACUCCUACGGGAGGCAGCAGUGGGGAAUAUUGGACAAUGGGCGAAAGCCUGAUCCAGCAAUGUCGCGUGAAUGAUGAAGGCCUUAGGGUUGUAAAGUUCUUUCGGUGGGGAAGAUAAUGACGGUACCCACAUAAGAAGCUCCGGCUAACUCCGU